rnacentral:rRNA from 1 species
GACGAACGCUGGCGGCGUGCCUAAUACAUGCAAGUAGAACGCUGAAGGAGGAGCUUGCUUCUCUGGAUGAGUUGCGAACGGGUGAGUAACGCGUAGGUAACCUGCCUGGUAGCGGGGGAUAACUAUUGGAAACGAUAGCUAAUACCGCAUAAGAGUAGAUGUUGCAUGACAUUUGCUUAAAAGGUGCAAUUGCAUCACUACCAGAUGGACCUGCGUUGUAUUAGCUAGUUGGUGGGGUAACGGCUUACCAAGGCGACGAUACAUAGCCGACCUGAGAGGGGGAUCGGCCACACUGGGACUGAGACACGGCCCAGACUCCUACGGGAGGCAGCAGUAGGGAAUCUUCGGCAAUGGACGGAAGUCUGACCGAGCAACGCCGCGUGAGUGAAGAAGGUUUUCGGAUCGUAAAGCUCUGUUGUAAGAGAAGAACGAGUGUGAGAGUGGAAAGUUCACACUGUGACGGUAUCUUACCAGAAAGGGACGGCUAACUACGUG